GACUUUCCCCAGGUCACCCCAGUUGGGACUCGAGAGGCCACUGUGGGCUGGGCGACUGGCUGGUGCUGGCCUCUAUAGCCUUUUCCAAUUGGACUCUUAACAGACCAGCCUAGUCUCUAAAAGGAAAAGGAUCACAUUCACUCUUGGAGUUUCAUUGAAGGGGCCCCUGCAUGAGUCAGGUGAGCCACUGGCUGGUGCUGUUCAAGAAAACGCAACGGAUCCUUACUUUGGAAGCUCUCACCCCGCAAUGCUUGGGAAAUGAAUCAGGAAAACUGGGGUUUUAAUACCAGGAAAAGACUCAGUUUACUCCCCUCCAGGGACAAACAGGAAGCUGGCCUUUCUCUGCUUUCUUCCCCCACAGAUUGACUGUGGAAGCCUUUCUAUUUUCUUUUUUUCAGAAUGAAUCUGGGCAUUUACUUCCCGUACUCCCAUACAUGUUUGGCCCCAUCCAUGGUUUACCCAUCCAUGGCAUUUUCCUUUCAUUUGUUAAAGGCACACUGGGGUUUUUGUUAGUUUGUUUGUUUCUGACCAAGGGACUAACUUUAGCGAAAGAAGAGGCUGGCUGUCAGAUUUGCUAGCUCUGUUGGGGACCCCAAUAACCAGAGUGGCGGCUUUAUGAAACAGUGACCGUGGAAUACACAGCUCCUGAGCCAGCUGGAAGACGGCAGCUUGAGAGCUUGGAUUCCAUUUAUACUUACAUCCAGCGAUCCUGUCAAUAUCCUUCUCAGAAAGAGAAACUUCGAUGUGACUGGGAAUUGAACCUGCAACCUCUUGUGUAUGGAUACGCUCCUACCAACUAAGCCACAUGUGCCAGGGCCCACAGCUUCCUUCUUUAAACAACACAGCCACUUCCAUGUGACAAAGUCCUCACCUUGCCCACUCUACUUACUUUCAUUACUUAACCGGACCCUGAAGGCAUGCUUGUCACCCUUGGUGCUUAACUGAACGAUACUGAAUAAAUUAAAUUGGCAAUUAA